GAUGACCGCUGGCGGCGUGCCUAACACAUGCAAGUCGAGCGCAGCAAAGGGAAACGUUUGCCUUUGGGGUUGGCGGGGGACGGCUGGGUAAGAAGUAGAUCGAAUACCACUUUGACUGGGGGACCAACGGGGGAAAGGUACGCUUAUACCACAAUAUAACUAACGGUGAAAGGCAGUGGUCAUAGGAGGUUUUGCGGUCGAAUAUGCCUGGAUCCGCGCAGCAUUAGCUAGUUGGUGAGGUAACGCACUACCAAGGCUACGAUGCGUAGCUGGGCUGAGAGGAUGAUCAGCCACACUGGAACUGAGACACGGUCCAGACUCCUACGGGAGGCAGCAGUGGGGAAUCUUGCACAAUGGGCGCAAGCCUGAUCCAGCAACACCGCGUGGGUGAUGAAGGCCUUCGGGUCGUAAAGCUCUGUUGUUGGGAAAGAAAAACAGUAUGUUUAUCCCCCGCUGUUCUGACGGUACCCAAAGAAUAAGCACCGGCUAACUUCGUG
rnacentral:rRNA from 1 species